CAAAUGAAAAUAAUGGUCAGAUAUUCUCCAAUGAUAGUAUAGCAAAUGUAUUAAAUGAGGAUCUUACACACUCAAACGUGGAUCCUAAUAUACAUCAAGAAAAUGAAUGUAUAAAUAAUAUCAUAAAAGAAAUUCAAUUACCUAAGAAAUUAAAUAAAAGCGGGAGACCAUUAGGAUUUACAAUAUUGGAUUCACAAAAAAGCAUACAAAUCCAAAGAAAAUCAUAUAGAUAAAAAGUUAAAAUUUCAACAAGACCUUAAUUCCCAAAACUUUGUUGACCCAAAAAUAGUUGAUACCAAAGAUUAUAAAAAAUCUUCUUUACACCUUUUGAAGGAUCUUCAAGUGGACUUAGUAGACUUUGUAUACUCAGACUCAAACCAUAGAUGACCCACUCGUUAAAAUCAUUCAACAUACAUUUAAACAUUUUUAUAAUCCAACUACCAAUAUUUGGAGGAAAUAUCAUGCUACUCGCUUAAAUUUAGCUUCAGCAAAAAAGAAAGUCUCUCAAAAUAUAGGAAGGGUGCUAACUGCUCCAUCACGAUUGGAAACAAUUGAGCUAGAUGGGAAUUGU